AUGAACGCUAGCUACAGGCUUAACACAUGCAAGUCGCGGGGAAACGACAUCGAAAGCUUGCUUUUGAUGGGCGUCGACCGGCGCACGGGUGAGUAACGCGUAUCCAACCUGCCCAUCACUUGGGAAUAACCUUGCGAAAGUAAGACUAAUACCCAAUGAUAUCCCACGAAGGCAUCGGAAUGGGAUUAAAGAUUUAUCGGUGAUGGAUGGGGAUGCGUCUGAUUAGCUUGUUGGCGGGGUAACGGCCCACCAAGGCAACGAUCAGUAGGGGUUCUGAGAGGAAGGUCCCCCACAUUGGAACUGAGACACGGUCCAAACUCCUACGGGAGGCAGCAGUGAGGAAUAUUGGUCAAUGGGCGAGAGCCUGAACCAGCCAAGUAGCGUGCAGGAAGACGGCCCUAUGGGUUGUAAACUGCUUUUAUAAGGGAAUAAAGUGGGUCACGUGUGACUUUUUGCAUGUACCUUAUGAAUAAGGACCGGCUAAUUCCGUG
rnacentral:rRNA from 1 species